CGCGGCCUAUCAGCUUGUUGGUGGGGUAAUGGCCUACCAAGGCGACGACGGGUAGCCGGCCUGAGAGGGCGACCGGCCACACUGGGACUGAGACACGGCCCAGACUCCUACGGGAGGCAGCAGUGGGGAAUAUUGCACAAUGGGCGGAAGCCUGAUGCAGCGACGCCGCGUGAGGGAUGACGGUCUUCGGGUUGUAAACCUCUUUCAGCAGGGACGAAGCGCAAGUGACGGUACCUGCAGAAGAAGCGCCGGCCAACUACGUGCCAGCAGCCGCGGUAAGACGUAGGGCGCGAGCGUUGUCCGGAUUUAUUGGGCGUAAAGAGCUCGUAGGCGGCUUGUCGCGUCGACUGUGAAAUCCCGCGGCUCAACUGCGGGUCUGCAGUCGAUACGGGCAGGCUAGAGUUCGGUAGGGGAGACUGGAAUUCCUGGUGUAGCGGUGAAAUGCGCAGAUAUCAGGAGGAACACCGAUGGCGAAGGCAGGUCUCUGGGCCGAUACUGACGCUGAGGAGCGAAAGCGUGGGGAGCGAACAGGAUUAGAUACCCUGGUAGUCCACGCUGUAAACGUUGGGCGCUAGGUGUGGGGGACCUCUCCGGUUCUCUGUGCCGCAGCUAACGCAUUAAGCGCCCCGCCUGGGGAGUACGG
rnacentral:rRNA from 1 species